CGUCGCGUCCGCCAGAUGCGAAUUGACGUCAUCUCAGACAUUUUUUUCUAUUGCGCGUUUGCCGUCAAUGGCUCCCUGUCUUCGUUUUUUUCUUCGUUUUGAGUCACAGAGCUCUGUUUGCGUGUUUGCCUUUUCAUAAAAAAUGGACACCGACACUGGCGAAACGAGUAUUCAUCACGCCGAGCAGGAGACUAAAAGUGCGAAACGAAGGAAUUCGGGUUCAACGCUGACCUUAAAUCGGUUCGUGCGUUUGCCGAAACCCAGAAAGUGUCGUUCGUGGGGACGUCAAUUACUGCGACGAUGGUCUAGCGCGAGUUUCAUCAAUUUCUUCAGCUCGCCAAGUAGCUGCACGAAGGAAAGCAGUAACAGCGGCAACGAUUCUCCGCCUCUGGCUGACGCUGUUGAUGUUUUCGGAUCGUCGGAUUAUGUGAACUUUGGUCCGAUCACGCCUCCUCCUAAGCCUCCACGAGUCGGGGCUCAGUCUGGUCUAUCCUCGUUGUCAACUGGUGCAGACAGAUGCAGCGCAACCGACUGUGAAGGAUCGCUCACUUCAGUGCAGUCGAGCGCCUUGCAAGUGGAAGAGGAGGAGCGAGACGCAUCCCGUCUGUUCUUCUUGAGAUUUCAGUUGAUGUCUUCGUCGUUGCCGUCCAUCGAGUUGUCGCCGUGCUCGCUAGAUGGCGUGGAUGAGGGUCAGGAUGUCAUUUGCUCCGGGGAAUCAUCAGGUGCCGUGACAGCCGCAACGUCCAAUGCGGCACGAGAUGAACAAUUUCACCGUAGGGGGGCGGAGUCAUUGCCAACGAGUGAAGAUGAAACGCAUUCAUCCGGUGCGGAUGAUGACGAAGAUGACGUUAUUAUUGACGACGACGUUGAAAACGAAGCUCGUGAUGGCGGAAUUACACACAAAUCGCUUAGCGCCAAACUGUUGCGGAUGCGUCCAUUAUGGCCAGUGGCCUUGCCAUUGCAUGACCAGCUUGAAGGCAACGACGACUUCCGUUUGGAGGACGCCCGUUUGUUGUGGCUUCAAUGGCGACUUGUCAUCCCAUCCGUCCGACAGACGAAACCGGUCAUUUCGGAACGAGAACGCGGACUAUUGCAGCGGGCAAACAGCCUCAAUAUUCACGUCAGUCAGCUGCAACGCCAGCAACGGAUCUUAUCCAGCGAGAAUGAGCAAUUGAAACGUCAAAUGGAGAUGGAAAGAGAGCGGCCGGCCGGCCAGCUGCAACGGGAACGUGAACGUCAGCAAGAACUGCAACUACUGCGGAAGAAAAAUGCCGAACUGGCCAUUCAGACGAAAAAAUUAGAAGAGAAAGUCCGCAGCCUUGAAAAGAAGUCGAAAGAAUUGCCGUCGGUGAACGGUGGAACGCAGCAGGUUGUGCUGUCCAGGGAGCGGUCGAUUGACAACAAGUUGCAUCAUCAGCAAGUCCAGCAGCAACAACAACACAGCAAACAGACGGCGCCGACCAAGUGGCGCGAAAAAGAAAUGGCCAUGCAAACGCUGCAGAAUCGGUUGACGGAGCGUGAAAAAGAGAUCGGCCGUCUCAAGGAAAAGCUUCGUGAUCUGACCAAGAAACUCCAACAAGAACAACAUUACAACAGCAAGGAGUCGUUACAACAGCAACAAAAUGGAGUCGAAUGGACAAUAUUAUCGCAGGGUUCCAGGGAAUUGGAAGGUCUACUCAAACUCGUCUCCAAGGAGCGACUUCAAUUGGAACGCAACUUUGUCCUGGCCACUCAGGGCUUGCAACGGAGCGCCGAGCUCGACGUGAACCGCUACUCCGCCUUGGAGGCGACCAACGUCCAGCUCCGGCGGCAGGUUGAACAGCUCGAAUUACUCUGCAAAGAACAGGCCGAAGCUGCCCAACAGCUCAGUAAAAGGCAACAGGAUCGUGAGGUGUUGGCCGAACGACUUAAAGCCAAAAGUGAAUACAGUCAAGACUUGGAAAAUCAGCUGAGUAAAGUUAUCGACAAGAACGCUGAAUUGACCAUUGAGAAUUGUGACUUGAAAAAGCAGGUUCAAGAGCUACACCAGUUUGAAGCGGAAUGUGUGACGCUUCGUAGUUCAUUGAGCACGGUGGAAAGCCAGUGCCAGGCGGCUCAGAGCGAAGUAGCUCAGCUCAAGGAGAAGAUGGCCGGCCUGGAUCACGUCCUCAGGCAAAUGCGAGAAGCGGCCGAGAAGAAGAAAGAAUUGGAAAAACAACAUGGAGAAUCCGUCAACGAGUUACGGACGGCUCAGGCCCAGCUCGGAUUGCUGGCCAGUAACAAGAACACGGAAGUGGAGCGGGCACAACAUUCUCAGAACAUCGAGUCGCUUCAGUCUCGUAUUCGCGAGCUGGAAAGGAAAAUGGAGCUGCAAAAUGUCAGACAUGAUGAAUUGUUGCUGGAGUUGGCCGCCUUGAGACGCAACCAACAUCACCAUCACGCCAGCAAUAGCAGCGGAAGUAGUCACCAUGGUAGCAGCCAGUCACUAGGCGCUGCUUUCGAUUUAGAUUCCAGAGGAUCCAGUCCAGAUUCGCUCCGGUAUUUAGCAAAUGGAGCUGGAUCUGUGACGCGUACAACACCGCUGGGACAGAGUGCCUCCAAUUUAGAUGCUCUCCUCGAAAUGGAUUUGGCCGUCUCUAAUUAUAAUCUGGGGAAAAGUAUGUCGCAGCCGGUCGUGUCGGCUUCAUCGUUAUCGAAAUUGACGGGCAACGGUGGUGCAGGUGUUAGCAAUAAUAGUAGCCAUCACCACAUGAUUCACGGAAGCGCUGGCGGUAGUGACAUUGAACGCAUCAUGGCCAAAAUCGAGCAGGAUAAUCGUGUGCUGGCCGAGCUGGAUAAAUCUCGAGCUACAAUCAUGUCUCAGGAGAAGGCCAAAACGGUGACGUUUGCCAAUGAUGAUAUGGUGCUGCACUACGGCGGCCCACACCGGCACCGGCGCAAAUCGACACCGGCCAGCCUCAACCGGACGCCUUUACACCACAACAACCCCCAAUACCACCAACAACAGCCUUCGCACCAUCAACAUCAUCAGAGUCUGCAUCACGUUUUGCGCUCAUCGCCCGUCUCUGCCCAUCUGAGGCAUUGGCUAGCGCCGGGCAAUUCGAACAUGAUUGAAACGAGUAAGAAGAGUUCGGGUUUUUCGAAUCACAAUGGAGCCACUAGCGGGUCGGUGCCGACGUCGCAGUCGAUCAGCCCGAUGUACGGCAGCACAAGUUCGGCGGCCAUGGGGUCCGGUUUGACGUCGACGACAUUGACCAAUACGUCGUCCGUGUUUUUCCCUGGCGGCGUAGCGACUUCGACGUCAUCGGCCGCGGCCGAUUUGGCGCACACGUUGAGCCUUGGCCAGCAACAAAAUGCCGGACUACAUCAUCAGCAUCGCACGUCGACGCUGACGGCGCCCGUCUCGAUGAUGCAUCCGCCUUUAUCGCCGCUCAGUUUGCCCGCUCUGCCGCUCGAUGCCCAUUCCGGCUCACUUGUCCACACGGUUCCGCUGCACUCGUUCCGCCAUCCGGAGCCAGAAAGCAGCGCCGACAUGCUCGAGAUACCGGGCAAAGGCAGAUGUUACGUCUACUUGGCCAAGUACACGUACGACCCAUUCACGCAGUCACCCAACGACAAUCCGGAAGCGGAAGUGUCGCUAGCGGCCGGCGAUUACGUUCUCGUCUGGGGCAACAUGGAUGAGGACGGAUUUUACGAGGGCGAAUUGUUGGACGGCCGCAAAGGUUUGGUGCCAUCGAAUUUCAUCCAGCGGCUUCAAGGCGAAGAUUUGGUUGAAUUCCAUCGGGCCGCUGUGCUGGGCCUGCAGAUUUGCGGCGACGACAGUAGCACCACCAGCUUACCGAGGGACCUGCUGGGCGUCAGCCCCAACAAUCAUCCAUCGUCUCAUUUGGCCGGCAGCAAUAGACCUGGUCAUCAGGCUCCGAUUCAUCAACUUGCAGCGCAUCACCAACAGCAGCAACAGCAAGGUCUGCCUCAUCAGCAACCGAUUCGGACCAACGAGCCCAUCGAUCAAGCCAAUAUCCCAGCGGCUGGAAGCAGUCAGGUGGCCUUUCAUAGUCCGGCCAGUCGCAGUAGGGGCAUCAAUCAGUAUGAUGCUGCACGUCAGGCCCUCGACUGGGGUCUGAUGGAACUCCAGGAGUUCCUGGAAGAUGAAGAAUUAGCACUCGGCGUUAAAGGAGAAGGUCCAGACUGGCUCUUCCUUUCGCUGCUAGUCCCUCCACCGCGUCAGCUGACGCUGGAACGGCAGUUGAACAAGUCGAUUUUGAUUGGAUGGAACCAUCCGGAAGGAGCACCUCCAGAGUCGGGCCAAAUUGCCUCCUAUCAUGUCUACGUCGAUGGCAUCCUUCGCACCACCAUCCGGGCCGCCGAUCGCUGCCGGGCGCUCAUCGAAGGCGUCGAUUCCAGCAAGCCCCACCGGAUUAGUGUGCGCUCGGUGACGUUGAGACGGCGGGCAUCGCUGGAUGCGGCGUGCACGAUGGUGAUUGGCAAGGAGGUUCCAUCGGCGCCGACUUGCGUCCGUGUGAGUCACGUGACGGCCACGUCAGCGUUGAUUUCGUGGCUGCCGGCCAACUCCAAUUACCAGCACGUCGUCUGCGUCAAUCACGUCGAAGUGCGCACCGUCAAGCCGGGCAUCUUCCGGCACACCAUUUCUGGCUUGUCGCCCAACACCAUCUACCGGGUGACGGUCAAAGCCAAAAACAUCCGUUCGCCGCACUUUAACACGAUGGACGAGACGACGGCCAAGUACGCGGAAAAGUACUGCACCCACGUCGAAUUCCGCACACUUCCUAAAGGUGUGCCUGAUCCACCUGUCGAUGUCCAGGUGGAGCUGGGACCUCAGGACGGCACGCUACUCGUCACUUGGCUGCCCGUCACCAUCAACAGCCAGUCGGGAAAAUCCAAUGGCGUGCCCGUCACCGGUUACGCCGUCUACGCCGAUGGUAGAAAGGUCACAGAAGUCGAUAGCCCCACAGGAGAUCACGCCUUACUGGACAUUUCCAGCUUUAUGGGCUUGCAAGCUAAACACGUGACGGUGCGGACCAAAGCUCGGGAGAGCCAAUCAGGGGACAGCGUGCCGACUCCAGUGCCAAUCGAUCUAAUUAAGAACCGUGGCGGUGGCAACAGGAACGGUAAUGUGGACGUUUUCGAAGACGAGGUACAAUCCGAGUCUGCACCGGUUGUAGCGAGCGAAGAAGACAUUGUCGGAUUGUGGAAUCUCAGUCUAUUGGCCAGCAUCAAGGAUACGCUUGAAUCCGACGAAAGACCGUCUGAAUUAUCUGAUAUUGCCGAAGAGCCGGAAGAAUAUGAAGACUGCAGUAGCGAAGGGGAAAUGAUGAACGAAACGAGCCGCAGCAACAACGGAGGCCGGCGCAAUUUUAUGGAACAGGCCAACAACGGUAGAAGCGGCGGCGGUAUGAUCCAGCGCAAUCAGUAUCUCAAUCCGUCUCUACCCGGUCCUAUUCCCUCUAUCGAAAUCACCAAGGAUACGGCCAGUGAACGAUCAGGUGAUAGCUAUCGCGGACGUGAUGGAACCGGAAUGAAUCCAUACGACCGAAACAAAUCAUUGCCAGCCAACCGGAACCCGCAGAUGGUUGGCGGUAGGAACGCUCAGGGACAGGCUAGAGAUAACUAUUACGCGCCACCAGGACGCAACCAACAGCAGAACGACGGCUACUACGAUCAGACGGCCAACAGACGGCCAGUGGCUCGUGGAGGCAGGCAACCUCAAAUGCAACAGCAGCAGCAAACGCGCAUCUUUGUUGCCUUGUUUGACUACGAUCCGCCCAGCAUGUCACCUAAUCCAGACGCUUGCGAUGAAGAGUUGCCGUUCCGCGAAGGCCAGCUCAUCAAGGUGCGUGGUGAUAAAGAUGCCGAUGGAUUCUAUUGGGGUGAAGUGGCUGGCCGAUCGGGUUAUGUUCCGUGUAACAUGGUGUCCGAAGUGCAAGUCGAUGAUGAACGGGUCGCCCAAGAACUUCUCAAAGAGUCUGGAGCGGACGGACCAAGUCAUUCUCGUACUCGACGCAAUUUACGUGCUCAAGGCCAGCCGGGUCACGGACGCGACCGUUGGGGCGACAUUUACGCCAAUAUGCCCGUCAAGCGGAUGAUUGCUUUGUACGAUUACGAUCCGCAGGAAUUGUCGCCCAACGUCGACGCCGAAGUGGAGCUCUCCUUCCAAACGGGCGACAUCAUUUACGUUUACGGAGAUAUGGACGAUGACGGUUUCUAUUUGGGUGAAUUGCGCGGACAGCGCGGUCUAGUCCCUUCCAACUUCUUGACGGAAGCCCCUCCCGACUACGAUCCAUCUCAGCCGCGUCACAAACGCCAGCAGCAAUCGGGCAAUAUCAUCGAUAAAUCAGGCGGUGGUGGCGGCCAGGCGAUGCAGGAUCGCGGACGAGAUUCCAGCUAUUACGGAAAUCGCAGCCGUGAACGGAUGGAUCACGAUCGAAUGGAUCCUCGAGAUCGGGGCAUGUCCGGAGCUGAAGGCCCUCCACCUCCGCCUCGUACAACAAAUCAUCGUCCAAGUGACAAUUCACGCGACCGACGUAGCGGCGAGGUCCAUGGCGGCGGUCGCGAGAGAUGGUAGCAUCCAGGCCAAUAACCAACGCUUCUACACUGACGACUCUUUCUCCGAUGUGGAUGACCGAUUUAAAGGAAGACCGGAUGGGAUGGAUUAUGCUUAUAACAAUGGCAUGCCCGAACAGUCGCCACAAAUUUCAGCCGGGCAACAGCCAACGUUCAAUGGCGGGACAGGACCUGUUCGUAAUUUGCCCGUGAAUAAAAUCACGAGAGGUCUG
rnacentral:misc_RNA from 1 species